GGGAAUCUGCCCUUUGGUUCGGAAUAACAGUUGGAAACGACUGCUAAUACCGGAUGAUGACGAAAGUCCAAGGAUUUAUCGCCAGAGGAUGAGCCCGCGUAGGAUUAGCUAGUUGGUGUGGUAAAGGCGCACCAAGGCGACGAUCCUUAGCUGGUCUGAGAGGAUGAUCAGCCACACUGGGACUGAGACACGGCCCAGACUCCUACGGGAGGCAGCAGUGGGGAAUAUUGGACAAUGGGCGAAAGCCUGAUCCAGCAAUGCCGCGUGAGUGAUGAAGGCCUUAGGGUUGUAAAGCUCUUUUACCCGGGAUGAUAAUGACAGUACCGGGAGAAUAAGCUCCGGCUAACUCCGUGCCAGCAGCCGCGGUAAUACGGAGGGAGCUAGCGUUGUUCGGAAUUACUGGGCGUAAAGCGCACGUAGGCGGCUUUGUAAGUUAGAGGUGAAAGCCUGGAGCUCAACUCCAGAACUGCCUUUAAGACUGCAUCGCUUGAAUCCAGGAGAGGUGAGUGGAAUUCCGAGU
rnacentral:rRNA from 1 species